rnacentral:lncRNA from 10 species
GCACAGCACGCAGCAGUGUUGCCCAAGGGGCGCGGCGAGGCUUCCGGCUCUGCGGCCUGCAGGUAGCGCGAAAGUCCUGCGCGUCCCAGAUGCCCAACUAAAAGCUUCGCUGCGGGAAGAAAGCCUGACCUGACUACACCCAGACCCAGAACGCAGGAUCUCGGUAAAGGAUGAUGCCUGUGCAAACGGCGCGGCACCCACACGGAAGGUGGCAGCUAGGCCGUUGAGGCAACUGUGGAUAAGCUAUUAGUUUUGCUGGUUUCUUAAAUUCAAGGGCAGAGCAAACUAACAUUAAGGCCAACUUUACAAACGUCAGUUGCUUAAAAGAAGCAGUUACAUCACUUUAUAAACGAAAAGUACUGACGCUCGCUAGGAUGUCAGUACGUGUUGGCGAAGUUGUGUGAAAACUGGGACCCUCAUAAACCGUUGGUGGAAAUGUAGCGUGCAGCCUUUUUGGAAAUAUUUGGAAGUUCCUCAGAUGUUUACUCAGUAACUACAGCACUGCUUCCACAGAAGUAGCCACACGGGCCUCACCAAUCCAGUCAACCCUUUGGAAGAAAAUACAGCCUGUUUCAAUCCAAUGCUGGAUCUUC